UCCAGCUUACACCUAGAAGAUUUNANUCAAAAUGAACACUUUGA
rnacentral:tRNA from 1 species